CCUACGGGUGGCAGCAGUGGGGAAUAUUGCACAAUGGGGGAAACCCUGAUGCAGCAACGCCGCGUGAGUGAAGAAGUAUUUCGGUAUGUAAACUUCUAUCAGCAGGGAAGAAAAUGACGGUACCUGACUAAGAAGCACCGGCUAACUACGUGCCAGCAGCCGCGGUAAUACGCAGGGGGCACGCGUUAUCCGGAUUUUCUGGGUGUAAAGGGGGCGUAGGCGGUUUAGCAAGUCAGAAGUGAAAGCCCGGGGCUCAACUCCGGGACUGCUUUUGAAACUGUUGAACUAGAGUGCAGGAGAGGUAAGUGGAAUUCCUAGUGUAGCGGUGAAAUGCGUAGAUAUUAGGAGGAACACCAGUGGCGAAGGCGGCUUACUGGACUGUAAAUGACGCUGAGGCUCGAAAGCGUGGGGAGCAAACAGGAUUAGAUACCCUUGUAGUC
rnacentral:rRNA from 1 species